AGGAGAGCACCUGUGGUCCACACCUACCGUAUAGAGCACUCGCCUCAAGGCUGGGCUGUAGAGACGGUGAGCGGGAGUAAGCCAGAGUACUUCAGGAGUGUGACUUGUCUGCUGAAGGCGUACGUUGCUAGGACACCACGGAACAUGGAACCCCCUCUGUACCCGCUCGAGAAACACACACUCCCCCUAGAGGCAACAGCUCCAGACUAUUGGGAAAUGUGACCAUAGCAAGAGGACCUGCAGCGUGUAUUUGUGUGUGUGUGUGUGUG